CCUACGUGUGACAGCAGUGAGGAAUAUUGGUCAAUGGCCGGGAGGCUGAACCAGCCAAGUCGCGUGAGGGAAGACGGCCCUACGGGUUGUAAACCUCUUUUGUCAGGGAGCAAGGUGCAGGUCGGGACCUGCUGUGAGAGUACCUGAAGAAAAAGCAUCGGCUAACUCCGUGCCAGCAGCCGCGGUAAUACGGAGGAUGCGAGCGUUAUCCGGAUUUAUUGGGUUUAAAGGGUGCGCAGGCGGAGGCCCAAGUCCGCGGUAAAAUCGGGGGGGUAAACCCCGCCCCGCGGUUGAAACUGUGUGCCUUGAGUGCGCGAAGGGUAGGCGGAAUGCGUGGUGUAGCGGUGAAAUGCAUAGAUAUCACGCAGAACUCCGAGCGCGAAGGCAGCCUACCGGAGCGCAACUGACGCUCAUGCACGAAAGCGUGGGUAUCGAACAGGAUUAGAUACCCGAGUAGUC
rnacentral:rRNA from 1 species